CAGCUCCACUGAGGUUGAAACUGCAAUCCUCGUGCGGGCUGCAACCUCCGAACCAAGUGAGAUUGAUGGUGGCAGCACUGAUAUCAUAGAAAUGCCCUCUAACAUUCCUCCCGGCUCCUUCUCAAUUCAAUGUCCUGAAAAAGAGGAAACCUCGUAUUUUACUUCUGAUCCUAGGAGAAGAUCUAAUGCAAAGAAGCACAAGAAGGACAAGAGCGCACCGGGUUGCAAGGAGAGGGACGCAAUAAUGUCCAACACCAAAGUUAAGACGCCAUACAUGAGAUUCUUAAGGAUGAGGAAACCACGUAACAUCAGCAAGAUCUCUUUCAUCGAGAAGUCCCCUGCUGACAGAGAGGCUACCAUGACUGAUCUCUCUGGGUACUCCAGCAGCAUGGAGCAUUCCUCGGAGGUGAAGGUGUGCACUGACUCUUCAAAGACAAAUAUGCAGCUGUUCCCUGACAUGGCACACG
rnacentral:lncRNA from 1 species